CACAGUCUUCCAUUAAGCUGUCUUUACAUCAGUGAAAGUCAUAUAACAGUACUCAGCUUGAAUGAGUAUGGCAUUCUGGAGACGUGUGAGGAAAUUCAGCCUCCAGUCAGAGCUCAGGCCAGUGGGCCUGUGGGCCUGUUGACCACCUGUCACAGACACAGAUCCAGAGAUAACUCUGUGAUGCUGAGGCACAAGAUCAGUGGAAUCAGGAACAUUUCCUUAGGUGCUGAGCACUGUGGAAGCAUUCAGAUCAUCUUCCUGCACUGAGAGAAAACACAAACGGAUUAGAAAAAAAUGCUGAAAUGAAGUUGGACUGAGUAGCCUGCAGACAGCAAAUGCUGAAGUAGAAGUAAAACAAGGACAUACUGGGCAUGAGGUGCAGGACUUCUGAGUGAGCAACACUUCAGAGGAACCCAGAAUCAUCCAUUUCUGUAAAUGCAAGGCAAGAUUUAUUUGUUUGUACAUCGUUUCUUUUGCCAUGUGUAUGGCACAAGUAAUGGAUCUUGCCUCUUUGACAGCUGUGCAUAAAUCAUGCUUUUUCAUAAAUUAUCCUUUAUGUUAGAGUAAGCAUUCCUUACUUUUAUUUAUUAUGAAAUAGAUUUUCCUGUUAUUAAACAUUGCUAGUUUAUAAUUAAUGCCAAAGUAUAUUGGUCUUAUCCUCAAACAUUUCUAAGUACACUGCUUUGCUUGGGGAACAAAAAAUGAAAUCCUUGUGCCCCAAGUACUUUCUACUUUCUGUCUUUGUGUUUGUAGUUGGCAUUGUGGCACUCAUUCAUGCAGUGUCCAACAAUCUUUACUUCAAACUAUCUUAAGUGUAUAAGUGCAAAUAGUUCUUUUUGACCUUGGAGAUAUUUUUGUGUUAUGCUGAAUGUAAAUUACUGCAUUCAAUCUCAGAGGGAAAUGUGCUUUUAUGAGUACCUUUUGUAGGCUUUGAUUCUCUGUUUGGCAUAUCAUCUAGAAAAUGUCA
rnacentral:lncRNA from 1 species